CGAACGUUUGCGGCGGGCCUAACACAUGCAAGUCGAACGCACUAGCAAUAGUGAGUGGCGCACGGGUGCGUAACACGUGGGUAAUCAACCCUUCAGCCUGGGAUAACGACUCGAAAGGGUCGCUAAUACCGGAUACGGCGCGAGAGGCUUCGGCUUCUCACGAGAAAGCCACGCAAGGGGCACUGAAGGACGAGCCUGCGGCCCAUCAGCUAGUUGGUGAGGUAAGAGCUCACCAAGGCUAAGACGGGUAGCUGGUCUGAGAGGAUGAUCAGCCACACUGGAACUGAGACACGGUCCAGACUCCUACGGGAGGCAGCAGUGGGGAAUAUUGCGCAAUGGGCGAAAGCCUGACGCAGCCACGCCGCGUGAGCGAUGAAGGCCUUCGGGUCGUAAAGCUCUGUGGGAGAGACGAAGAAAGCCUGUGAAGAGCAGGCCUUGACGGUAUCUCCUUAGCAAGCACCGGCUAACUCCGUG
rnacentral:rRNA from 1 species